rnacentral:misc_RNA from 1 species
CCACAGAUCAACAUUUAACUCUUCCUUUCCAGAAAAGCCAAUAAUUUAACACGACUUUCUAUCAACUUUGACACGGAUCAACAUUUGAGAUACAAGGUUCACCUAAACAUAAAUCAACCUUCAAUGAACACAAGAUGGUGAUUAACAUAUCCUAAUAUUAGCAUAUGUUUGACUAUGACAUGGACAAACUGUAAAUGCAAAAGUUGCAUAUGUUCUGUCAAAGAUUCAAUUUAACAUGAUGUCCUAUGACAAACUCUUAAAAAGCAUAUAUAUCAAAAACAAAAUUUUGCUUUAAUCAUCGUUUUACUCUUUCUGAUCCAACGGUUUUGUUGAAAUUGAUUCUCUUUCCGGAUGGUGACGCCUCCACUUCACUUUGGGCAAAGCCAUGAUCCAACACGGAACCUCACAGCCUGAGGCUGCCAUUACAUUAGCAAUAUUACGCAAAAGUGGAACAUCAUCUUCUGUGUAGAAAGUAAUAGCUUCUCCAGUCCUCCCUGCUCUGCCAGACCGACCUAUUUGGGAAUGAACAAAGUUUAAGGACACGCAUAAUUUCCUGAAAGGCGAAUCGGAAUACUUUCUGAAUCAUUUCAAGAAUAAUCCUGUAAAAUUAAUGCAUGGUAAAACAGCACAAGUAUCAUCAUCUAGGAAUAGGAGUUGGCGGAGUAUUUGCCAUUAGCAUUAGGAGAGAAUUUCCCCGCAGACAAGGGGACCAGAGCUCUUUAAGCACCUGAAAACCACAGGGCUCAAAAUAUAAAGGCAACGUCAAAUUUCAUAUGAUAAAAGCAACUUACCAAUAUGCUUCAACAAUAUGUCAGCACUAUCUUGCAAAUAAUGGAAAAUAAACAAUCAUUCACUGUAUAGGCAAUUAGCUAAUAAAUUUUAUCAGAUUGCCAAGGGAAAUUGAAACUCAGAACACAGGCAUGUGGUUGUUAAAUAUUUAUCAAGACAAGCUUUAAUAAACUCAUCUGACAAAUGAACAUCUCCACUACACAUGCAAGGAAAAGUUGAGAGCCUUAGGUUAUAACUGCUCAAAUACUUUUGAGAAUUGCACAUCUAUAACAACUAAGGUGAAGAGAAGUUUUAGGUUAAGAAAUAUACCAAUCCUAUGAAUAUAUGCAGCAGCAGAAUCUGGAAAAUCAAAAUUAAUCACACAAUUGACCCCUUUGAAGUCCAAACCACGGGCAACAACAUCAGUGGCAAUCAAGACCCACAUAUUGCCAGCUCUGAAGUCAUCAACGGCAUUCUCACGCAGCUUUUGGGCCAAAUCAGAAUGUACAACACCAACUCUGAUACUGUCAAAUUUCAAUUCUUCAUAUAGUUCAUUUGCACGUGUCUUGUUUUGAACAAAAAUCAACACUGGUGGAUUCAGACUCUCUGCAAAGCUUUGACGAAGUGCAAGGAGUUUUCCUUCUUCACUUCCAGCAAAAACCAAUUUUUGCUUGAUGGUAUCAGAAGCAGUAUUCUUCCUGCCAACAAUUACUCGAACAGCAUCAUGCAUUAUUGUGCGCGCAAGCUCUUCAACAAAAUCAGGUAAAGUAGCACUAAACAGUGAGCGUAUUACUGAAGUGUUUGAGCAUGCUUUGGCCACAGAAUCAAUCUGCUUUAACAUGCCAAGCUCAAAUAACUUAUCAGAUUCAUCCAAAACAAGAUACUCAACCCUGCUUAAGUCAACCUUUUUCUUGCGUAUAGCUAAUUGUAAUCGAAGUGGUGUUGAUAUAAGAAUAUCACACAGCAGCUUCGAAAAAUCACCAUUUCUCACAAGUUCUUUUGUCAUUAGCUUAAUACGAAAUUUAUUCCCUUUAGCCAUUCUUUUGCACUCUCUGGUGGUUUGAGCAGCUAAUUCCCGUGUAGGACACAAGAUAACAGCUCUGAUCCCAUCCUUUGAUGCAUGCUUAAGUUUAAUAAGCAUGGGACAAACAAAAGCCAAGGUUUUCCCAGAUCCAGUUGGAGCACAAGCAAAGCAUUCUCGGCCCUAAAACACGAAGAUCAACAAAUAGCAAAAGUAAAGAAAAUGGCAACAAAAAGGGCUUAUACCACAAGACAACCAAUCCAUUCUAAAGUUCCAAUGAUAUCAAGGCUCAUCUAACUGAUACAUUGUCAUUUUCUUAUGUAAAUAAAUUCGAACAGAGAAUAAAAAAUAUGAGAGAGAAUAGUUUCAGCCAUACAGAAGAUAGCUUAAAUGAAAGACCAUACAGAAAGGAGGACUGGAAUAGCCUGCCUUUGGAUUGGUGUUGGCUCCUCAAAUCCAAGUUCUGCCAAAUUGUGUAAUAAAUAUGACUCACAUCCAUAACUGUAAGUGAAACACAGAAAUUUUCAUUCAGUCAGAGAUAUGGUAAACCGACACAUCCAUAGAUCCAUAGAUAUAAGGAAAGCAACACAAAGAUAAAUGCAUCUUAUCAGGGCCAAAAGAGGAGGGUGGGGGGUGGCAGGGGCGGGGGUGGGGCGCAGAUGCAAUCAACGGAUGCUGAACUGCUCACCAUUGUGAAAAUUGGACACUUAAAACACAUAAUAAGAAGAAGACAACCAGAAGAACCACAAUAAAGAAAAAGAGUUAGAAGAUGAGGAAAUGGCAGAGGGGCAAAGAAAGACCAAACGUACCGAAUUUGAGAAGCAUGCAGACCAGAAUAAUAGUUGUAUUCUAACCAUUCAUUAUGGAUGAUAGACUAACCAUUCAUUACGAAUGACCGACUCUCACAAACAAAGAUAAAUAUAACAAGCAGAAUAAAAGUCAUUAAUGGUUAUAAUAUUGGUAACGCUUUAUAGAACAAUCAUGAGGAUAACAAAAUAAAUACGAAAACCAUGUCAAACGCCAGUUUAUGUGAUCUAUAUGUAUUAACACUACCAUUUAUAAAUAUAAAGUUGAAAUACCACCUGGAGCUUAACUCGGCAAAAUUUUGAAGUGGCGAUGGGACAUUAUUCCCAGAAACGUGAAUGAGAUGUUUUUUCCUGAGAAGUGCAUCCCGCUCAAUUUGCCAAUUUAAAUCCUUCUUUUUCCUGGAAAGCUGAUUUUCUUCAUCUUGAUCAUUCUGUUCAUCAAUUGAUAAAGGUACAGACUUUGAACUCUUAAAGACACUGAAUCCCUCCACCGUUUCUGAAACGGACACAUUUUUUCGUUUCCUCUUCCUAACAGAGACUGCCACUUCCUCUGGAUCAAGUUUUCUACUGUCAAAAUCAUCCGUUGGACCAUUACCAUUACCUUGUUCUUUCUCCUUAAAGCGGGCAAAAUCGUUGGCAAAUUUCUUCUUAUUGAAGCUGAUGCCUGAAAACAAAAAGGACGUGUCUUUCCCCAUCCCGAACUGGACGGCCACCAAUGAAAGCAGGGUUUCUUUUAGGGUUUUAGUUUCUUCUCCCGGAACCUUCGAACGGGA